rnacentral:tRNA from 1 species
CAGGGGGUAGUUUAGGUUAUAAAAUAUUAACUUUGGAGGUUGUUGAUGGGGUUGUUCCUUUCCCUGA